rnacentral:rRNA from 1 species
UAGGGAAUCUUCGGCAAUGGGGGCAACCCUGACCGAGCAACGCCGCGUGAGUGAAGAAGGUUUUCGGAUCGUAAAGCUCUGUUGUAAGAGAAGAACGUGUGUGAGAGUGGAAAGUUCACACAGUGACGGUAACUUACCAGAAAGGGACGGCUAACUACGUGCCAGCAGCCGCGGUAAUACGUAGGUCCCGAGCGUUGUCCGGAUUUAUUGGGCGUAAAGCGAGCGCAGGCGGUUGAAUAAGUCUGAAGUUAAAGGCAGUGGCUUAACCAUUGUUCGAUUUGGAAACUGUUAAACUUGAGUGCAGAAGGGGAGGGGGGAAUUCCAUGUGUAGCUGUGAAAUGCGUAGAUAUAUGGAGGAACACCGGUGGCGAAAGCGGCUCUCGGGUCUGUAACUGACGCUGAGGCUCGAAAGCGUGGGGAGCAAACAGG